rnacentral:rRNA from 1 species
UACAGAGGGGGCAAGCGUUAUUCGGAAUUAUUGGGCGUAAAGGGCGCGUAGGCGGCCUGACAAGUGGAAGGUGAAAUCCCUCGGCUUAACCGAGGAACUGCCCUCCAAACUGUUUGGCUUGAGACCGGGAGAGGUGAGUGGAAUUCCCAGUGUAGCGGUGAAAUGCGUAGAUAUUGGGAGGAACACCGGUGGCGAAGGCGGCUCACUGGGCACCACCUGACGCUGAGGCGCGAAAGCGUGGGGAGCGAACCGG